UUUAUAUAAUGUAUAUUAUAACUAUAUGUGGCGUCAGAAGAAGAAAAUCGUACUGUACUAAAAAGUAGAUAUGGACAAGAAAUUAUUCUAUUAAUAAUAUAUCACAGCGUGGCAAGAAGACUUGGUCUACGUUCCGACGUUAUGGGAUUCCGUGAUCGAUUAGAAUUAUUUUACUGUAUAUAUUGGAAAUCUAGAUAUGGAAUAAAUAAUUCAAAAAAUGAAAGAUGUUUUAGUUUAAUUUUUGAGAAACUCCCGGAUUGUCGU